rnacentral:rRNA from 1 species
GAGUUUGAUCAUGGCUCAGAACGAACGCUGGCGGCAUGCCUAACACAUGCAAGUCGAACGCCCCGCAAGGGGAGUGGCGAACGGGUGAGUAACGCGUGGGAACCUACCCAGCAGUUGGGGAUAACCGCGGGAAACUGCGGCUAAUACCGAAUACGUCCUAUGGGAGAAAGAUUUAUCGCUGUUGGAGGGGCCCGCGUCGGAUUAGCUAGUUGGUGAGGUAACGGCUCACCAAGGCGACGAUCCGUAGCUGGUCUGAGAGGAUGAUCAGCCACACUGGGACUUAGACACGGCCCAGACUCCUACGGGAGGCAGCAGUGGGGAAUAUUGGACAAUGGGGGCAACCCUGAUCCAGCAAUGCCGCGUGAGUGAUGAAGGCCUUAGGGUUGUAAAGCUCUUUUACCGGGGACGAUGAUGACGGUACCCGGAGAAUAAGCCCCGGCUAACUUCGUGCCAGCAGCCGCAGU